AGGACACACAUACAGCCACAAAGCAAGACCUAGGAGAAAUAUUUGGUGCUCUACUCUCCUAGGGAACUGGAAGGAACCUGCUCUCUCCUGGGUAUACUUUUCUAAUUUUAGAGUGCUAAAGAAGCUCUUCUCACAGGGACCCGAGUGAAUCCUUUCUCCUUGGAACAAAGGACAAGAAAAAAAGAAAGGACUUUACCGCAGAAAUGAUGAAGAUCAUGUCUCCAAGUCUUUUCUGCCGUUGCCAGUAUUCUCUCCCAAUCUCCUGUGGGCAACUUCUUCGGGAAAACACUCAUGCAAUUUCAUAAGGACAAGCGAAAAUAUGAAGAAGCUGGAUCUUGGAACUAGGCUUUGAUCACAGAGCGGAGCUGAGAUGAAAGUCCAUCCACUCAUUCAACAAAUAAUUGAGUACUUACAAAAAUUUCUGCUGUAUGGAGCUUAUAUAGUAGUGAAUAUCAAUUCUUAUUUUAUGGAUUAUAAAACAGAACUUUUUGCAACAAUUUUACACUACCCUAGGGGUACCUAUGAGUCUUCAUGCCUCAAGUAAUUGUCCUGUCCAUGUGACUAUGGAAGCCCUGAAAUCUUUGAAACCCCAGAUGACCCAUUUCACCAGACGCUUGGACAUUCUCCGUCGAGUUUGGAUUUAUAAUGCCACAUUUUGUUGGAACUCAGAGUUAUGAGUGGCCCUCGCCAUACCUACACUUUCUGACUGAGCUCCUCUCUACCCUGAAUACAAGAGACCCUAAUAGGCAGGAAUAUCAUCACCCCUCUUCAGCCUGAAGAUGUUACAGAAGAUGGAUAUUUGUCCGUUUACAACCCUUAAGAUUAAGGGUUCCCCUGUAAAAGGGAGGGGGAAAAUAUGUCAGAGAUGUUUGAACCAGAGCAACUUCGUCCUGAAUAGUGGCUCGGUAAAGUGAGGCUGACACCUAUGGACUGCAUUCCCAGGAGGUUAGGCAUUCUUAGUUACGGGAUGAAAUAGGAGUUUGGCACAAGAUGGGUCAUAAAGACCUUGCUGAUAAAAGGAUGUGGUACAGAAGCUGGCCAAAACUCACCAAAAUCAAGAUGUGAUGAAAGUGACUUCUGGUAGUCCUCACUCCUCAUUACACUAAUUAUAAUGCAUUAGCAUGCUAAAAGACACGUUCACCAGCACCAUUAUGGUUUACAAAUGCCAUGGCAAUAUCAGCAAGUUACCCUAUAUGGUCUUAAAAGGGGAGGAACCCUCAGUUCUGGGAAUUGCCCACCACUUUCCCAGGAAACUCAUGAAUAAUCCACCCUUUAUUUAGCAAAUAAUCAAGAAAUAACUAUAAGUAUAAUCAGUUGAGCAGCCCAUGCCACUGCUCUGCCUGUGGAAUAGCCACUCUUUUAUUCCUUUACUUUUUUAAUAAACUUGUUUUCACUUUA
rnacentral:lncRNA from 1 species